rnacentral:rRNA from 1 species
CCCUUAGAUGUUCUGGGCCGCACGCGCGCUACACUGACGAAGGCAACGAGUGUUCACCUUGGCCGGAAGGUCUGGGGAAUCUGUGCAAACUUCGUCGUGAUGGGGAUAGAUUCUUGCAAUUAUUAAUCUUCAACGAGGAAUUCCUAGUAAGCGUGAGUCAUCAGCUCGCGUUGAUUACGUCCCUGCCCCUUGUACACACCGCCCGUCGCUCCUACCGAUUGGAUGAUCCGGUGAAAUUCUCGGACGUGGCUGAGGGAGCGGGUUCGCUCGCACUCGCGGCCGCGGAAGUUGCUUAAACCUUAUCAUCUAGAGGAAGGAGAAGUCGUANCA